UACGGGGGGGAGCAAGCGUUUGUUCGGAUUUACUGGGCGUAAAGGGCGCGUAGGCGGCCAGCACAAGUCAGUUGUGAAAUCUCCGAGCUUAACUCGGAAAGGUCAACUGAUACUGUGCGGCUAGAGUGCGGAAGGGGCAACUGGAAUUCUUGGUGUAGCGGUGAAAUGCGUAGAUAUCAAGAGGAACACCUGCGGCGAAGGCGGGUUGCUGGGCCGACACGUGACGCUGAGGCGCGAAAGCCAGGGGAGCGAACGGG
rnacentral:rRNA from 1 species